UACGGGGGGGGGCAAGCGUUGUUCGGAAUUACUGGGCGUAAAGGGCUCGUAGGUGGCCAACUAAGUCGGACGUGAAAUCCCUCAGCUUAACUGGGGAACUGCGUCCGAUACUGGAUGGCUCGAGUUUGGGAGAGGGAUGCGGAAUUCCAGGUGUAGCGGUGAAAUGCGUAGAUAUCUGGAGGAACACCGGUGGCGAAGGCGGCAUCCUGGACCAACACUGACACUGGAGGAGCAGAACGCAGGGGAGCAAACGGG
rnacentral:rRNA from 1 species